rnacentral:rRNA from 1 species
GACGAACGCUGGCGGCGUGCUUAACACAUGCAAGUCGAACGGAAAGGCCCUGCUUUUGUGGGGUGCUCGAGUGGCGAACGGGUGAGUAACACGUGAGUAACCUGCCCUUGACUUUGGGAUAACUUCAGGAAACUGGGGCUAAUACCGGAUAGGAGCUCCUGCUGCAUGGUGGGGGUUGGAAAGUUUCGGCGGUUGGGGAUGGACUCGCGGCUUAUCAGCUUGUUGGUGGGGUAGUGGCUUACCAAGGCUUUGACGGGUAGCCGGCCUGAGAGGGUGACCGGCCACAUUGGGACUGAGAGACGGCCCAGACUCCUACGGGAGGCAGCAGUGGGGAAUAUUGCACAAUGGGCGGAAGCCUGAUGCAGCAACGCCGCGUGCGGGAUGACGGCCUUCGGGUUGUAAACCGCUUUCGCCUGUGACGAAGCGUGAGUGGCGGUAAUGGGUAAAGAAGCACCAGCUAACUACGUG